rnacentral:rRNA from 1 species
GGCCCCCUGUGGGAAAGAGAUGGGGGGUCGGGCCUGCCCGGUGACGAGAAGUUAAACGGCUGCGGUAUUUUGAACCGUACGAAGGUAGCAUAAUCAUUUGCCCAUUAAUUGUGGGCUAGUAUGAAUGGUUUGACGAGGGUGUGACUGUCUCUUUGUAAUAAAGUGGAAAUUAUUCUUUGGGUGAAGAAACCCAAAUGUGGCUGAGGGACGAUAAGUCCCCGUCGAGCUUUAGUGGAAUCUUGGAGAUUGUAAACAUGUCGUGUGGAAGUUGCAAUAUCCAGGUGAAUCUUUGGUUGGGGCGACCGAGAAGUAGAAAAAACCUUUUGUUGCGGUUAAUGGCUUAUUGGUUAAGAUCUGAUUUAUUAUGUGGAUAGGAAGAAUAAGUUACCGCGGGGAUAACAGCGUAAUCUUCUUGGAGAGUUCGUAUUGAGAAGAGGGUUUGCGACCUCGAUGUUGGAUUAAGAUUUCCUGAGGGUGCAGAAGUCUUCGAGGGUUAGUCUGUUCGACUAUUAAAAUCUUACA